rnacentral:rRNA from 1 species
AUUGAACGCUGGCGGCAGGCCUAACACAUGCAAGUCGAGCGAGCGACGGACGGGUGAGUAAUGUAUGGGGACUGCCCGCUAGAGGGGGAUAAAUACUGGAAAAGGUAGCUAAUACCGCAUCCUAUCGGAUAACACAUAUGGGAUUAGCUAGUAGGUGAGGUAAUGGCUCACCUAGGCGACGAUCCCUAGCUGGUCUGAGAGGAUGAUCAGACACACUGGGACUGAGACACGGCCCAGACUCCUACGGAGGCAGAAGUAGGGAAUAUUGCACAAUGGGCGCAAGCCUGAUGCAGCCAUGCCGCGUGUAUGAAGAAGGCCCUAGGGUUGUAAAGUACUUUCAGCGGGGAGGCGUUACCCGCAGAAGAAGCACCGGCUAACUCCGUGCCAGCAGCCGCGGUAAUUC